rnacentral:siRNA from 1 species
UUUGAGUUUGUUAAAGAAGAU